UGUUGCAUGGACGGUACAGAGGGAAUGCAGGUCCUCCUAUUGCAUCCACCACUCUAGAUUGCAGCCUGUGUGCAGCUGCGUGUAACUGGACUGCUGAUGUGCUAUUGUGUUGACCUACAUCACUGUCUAGAAUGACCAAACCGUAUGGCCUUGCGCCGAACAGCAUGCUUCCAGUUUCUCUCUGUGUGAAUAGUUCUGAAGUCGGCACUGUGACAAUAUGCCUGCCAGGAGCUAUGCUAUAGUUUGGGCAAUAGAAGACACCCUUCACAACUCAAGCUUCCAUUACAUACGAAAUCCUGAAUGCAUACCGAGAGACAGUGCUUCAUUUUCCUGCCAGGUUAUUCCAAAUAACGCUUGAGGCUCUCAGCACUCUCACUCUCAUGCCUCUCAGGCUAUAGCUAGGAAAUUUCCGCGAAUAAAUGUAAUGCCCUGAUCACACACAGUGGGUUCUACUUCUCUGUACUGUCCACCCCAACAACCCACGGUGUACGAUAUCCCCGCCAACUAAACCUCAAACGCUAGGGAAAGUAUACGCACAACGAAAUGGGCUCAUCACGAUUUCUCCGCAGCUA
rnacentral:sRNA from 1 species